rnacentral:rRNA from 1 species
AGUGAACGCUGGCGGCGUGCUUAACACAUGCAAGUCGAACGAGAACGGAUUAUAGCUUGCUAUAAUUGUCAGCUAAGUGGCGCACGGGUGAGUAAUGUAUAGGUAAUAUGCCUCUUACUAAGGGAUAACAAAUGGAAACGUUUGCUAAUACCUUAUACUCCUUAUUAACAGAAGUUAAUAAGGGAAAGAUUUAUUGGUAAGAGAUUAGCCUGUAUUGUAUCAGUUAGUUGGGGGGGUAAUGGCUUACCAAGACUAUGACACAUAACUGGUUUGAGAGGAUGAUCAGUCACACUGGAACUGAGACACGGUCCAGACUCCUACGGGAGGCAGCAGUGGGGAAUAUUGCACAAUGGACGAAAGUCUGAUGCAGCAACGCCGCGUGGAGGAUGACUCAUUUCGGUGCGUAAACUCCUUUUAUAUGAGAAGAUAAUGACGGUAUUAUAUGAAUAAGCACCGGCUAACUCCGUGCCAGCCGCCGCGGUAA